rnacentral:rRNA from 1 species
GAGUGCUUUGGGGUGGGGUGACUGCGUACCUUUUGUAUAAUGGGUCAGCGACUUAUAUUCUGUAGCAAGGUUAACCGUAUAGGGGAGCCGAAGGGAAACCGAGUCUUAACUGGGCGUUAAGUUGCAGGGUAUAGACCCGAAACCCGGUGAUCUAGCCAUGGGCAGGUUGAAGGUUGGGUAACACUAACUGGAGGACCGAACCGACUAAUGUUGAAAAAUUAGCGGAUGACUUGUGGCUGGGGGUGAAAGGCCAAUCAAACCGGGAGAUAGCUGGUUCUCCCCGAAAGCUAUUUAGGUAGCGCCUCGUGAACUCAUCUUCGGGGGUAGAGCACUGUUUCGGCUAGGGGGUCAUCCCGACUUACCAACCCGAUGCAAACUGCGAAUACCGAAGAAUGUUAUCACGGGAGACACACGGCGGGUGCUAACGUCCGUCGUGAAGAGGGAAACAACCCAGACCGCCAGCUAAGGUCCCAAAGUCACAGUUAAGUGGGAAACGAUGUGGGAAGGCUCAGACAGCCAGGAUGUUGGCUUAGAAGCAGCCAUCAUUUAAAGAAAGCGUAAUAGCUCACUGGUCGAGUCGGCCUGCGCGGAAGAUGUAACGGGGCUAAACUGUGCACCGAAGCUGCGGCAGCGACGCUUAUGCGUUGUUGGGUAGGGGAGCGUUCUGUAAGCCUGCGAAGGUGUCCUGUGAGGGAUGCUGGAGGUAUCAGAAGUGCGAAUGCUGACAUAAGUAACGAUAA